rnacentral:lncRNA from 1 species
CAGUGACGUCAGGCCCGCACGACGGUCUGCGCACGCGCCUUGCCGGAAGCAGCGGGGACUGCUCAGCGGAUGGGUUACAAGUAAGAACGUAAACGAAGGAGUUUGUAAAGUGUGAAGCAACUCCUUGCGUGAGGGAACCGUGAGAGACCGGAAUCUUAUAAUUUGAGUUCCUUGGUGAAAACUGCAGAACCACAGCUAAUGAUUGCUGAAGAGAGGCUUGACACUUCCCUCAGCUCAGUUUAGCAAACCUAUGUGAGCUCUACAUGGACAUCUUCAGUACCUCCUCUUUGGGACCUGCUUCCCACUUACACACCCAUGGUCAUUAAACAGUCUGGCUUCAGUUUUCGGCCACAUCUGGCAAACUCUAGAAAACUUCUCAGGAAAACAUCAAAGAAGAAUUCAUAAGUCCUUGAAGACUAAACUAUAUCAUGGAUCCCAGCAGGAUAAAUGGGAACUUUGACAAGAAUGGAGAAUGUGGGACCUCAAAGGUGUAGGUACAAUUGCUCUGCUACUC